ensembl:lincRNA
GUUUGGAGUUCACACUGUAGGAGUAAGUGAAGUGUUGAUAAAAGAGAUUCCAGAACAAAUAAAGAUUUCUACAGUAAAAGCUGGGGAGGUGUGUAGGGCUCCAGUCUUUGGGUUCACAGCUUGGCUCUACAUUCAUUGCUGGAGGAAUCCAAGCCUCACAAAAGACUGCUUUUAAAGAAAAAACUCUAUUUUUCUUAGAAGAACUAGAUUAAACUAAGAUCCUUUGCCAAUAAAAAGACAAACAAUAGAAAAUUCCUACAGAUUAAGAAUACCAACCAAGAUUUCAAUGAACUUACUUGCUUCAGCUCUGGGAGAACAGUUAAGACAUGGUGCUGAAUUACAUCAGUGAGGAACUAGAGCUUUAACCAAACUUGAGUAAGAACUCCCUGACUUGGAAACACUCAAGUUUCCCACACGUGACUGGAUGGCCCUGGCCACACUGGGAACGGAAUGGGGGCCUCCCAUUGGAACUCGGGGUGGAGGGGGAAGCUCGACCAGCUAUUGUGGCCCCCACUUCCAUUGACAAACUGCCUUGGAAAUCUGCCCAUCCACUUCAUCGUUCUUACGUUCGUUCUGCAUCUGAACACCUGGAUGAAAAAUGAAAAACUCAAUCAAAUCUUCAGCUAUUUACUCCAUGUUGUACCAAACAUUUAAGUUGUUCUAAAUAUUUGGAGCAUUGACAAAUUUUUAGUCUGCUUUUGGAUAUUUGGCAGAUUAAAAAUCAGAAGACACAACUUUAUCCUGGGCAAGGCCAGGAAGAAACAAAUCUCUUUCACGUGAUCAAUUUGAAACAGCCUGUUGAUGUGGACAACAUUUUUGUUUGACGGAUCAGAACAAUUUUAAAAAUUGUUUUUACCAAAAAAUGGGUGUCCCCUUGCAAGAUGUUGGAUGGGAUGAAGAUUAGGAUUGGGGUAAGGCUAUCUCUUGCAAACAUUAUAGUUUAUAAUUCCAUGAUUUAUUUAAAUUAAGAUAUAAUUUACAUUCAAUGCAAUUCACCAGUUUUAAGUAUACAAUUUGAUGAGUUUUGAAACAUAUACACUAUCACCACAUCAAACUAUGGACUAUUUCCAUCACUCUAGGAAUGUUCCUCAUCCCUUUACAGUCAGUUCCCACCCCUUUCAAGCACUGAUCUGCUUUCUCUCACUAUAAUUCUGCCUUUUGUAGAACUUCAUAUAAAUGAAAUCAUAGGAUAUGUGUUCUUACAUCUGGCUUUUUUUCACUGAGCAUAAUUCUUUUGAGAUACUGCAUGUCAUUGUAUGUAUCUGUAGUUCAUUCCUUUUUAUUAUUGAGUAGUAGUUCAUCAUACCACAAUUUGUUUAUCUAUUCACCGGUUGAUGGAUAUUUGGCUAUUAUGAAUAAUGCUGCUAUGAACAUUCAAGUACAAGUUGUUGCACAGAUGUAAAUUUUCAUUUCACUUGGAUAAAUACCUAGGAAUGGGAAUGCUAAGUUGUAAGUAUACGUUUGACUUUUGACAAAACUGUUAAACUGUUUGCCAAAGUGGCUGAACAUUCCACAUGUCCACCAGCAAAGUGUGGGAAUUCCCACACCCCAGUUUCAGCAACACUUUGUAUGGUAAUUGAUACGGUUUGGCUCUGUGUCCCCACCCAAAUCUCAUCUCGAAUGAUAAUCCCCAUGUGUCGAGGGAGGGACCUGUUAGGAGUGAUUGGAUCAUGGGGGCAGUUUCCCCCAUGCUGUUCUUGUGUUAGUGAGCGAUGAUUUAAAAGUGGCAGUUUCCCUUGUACACGCUGUCUCUCCUGCCGCCAUGUAAGACGUGCCUUGCUUCUCCUUCACCUUCUACUGUGACUGUCAGCUUCCUGACGCCUCCCCUGCCAUGCAGAACAGUGAGUCAAUUAAACCUCUUUCCUUUAUAAACUACCCAGUCUCAGGUAGUCUCUUUAUAGCAGUGUGAGAACGGACUAAUACAGUAAUCUUUCUUAUUUUAGCUAUCCUAGUGGAUUUGUAGUGGUAUUUCAUUAUGAUUUCAGUUCUCAUUUCCCUAAUGACUAUGAUGUUGAGCGUCUUUUCAUGGGCUUCUAGGUCAUUUACACAUCUUUGGUGACCUUUCACCAAAGGUCUCCACAUCUUUGGAGACCUUCUUUUCAAAUUAUUUGCCCAUUUAUUUUUAAUAGAUUAUCUUAUUCUUAUUGUGUUAUAAGAAUUCUUUACAUAUUCUUGAUCGCCUUUAUUGAACUUAUCUUCUGCUAUUAUUUUUCCCGGUCUGUGGUUUGCCUUUUAUUUUUUUAGUGGUGUCUUUUGAAGGGG